rnacentral:rRNA from 1 species
UACGGAGGGAGCUAGCGUUGUUCGGAAUUACUGGGCGUAAAGCGCGCGUAGGCGGCUUUGUAAGUUAGAGGUGAAAGCCCGGGGCUCAACCCCGGAAUUGCCUUUAAGACUGCAUAGCUUGAAUCCGGGAGAGGUGAGUGGAAUUCCGAGUGUAGAGGUGAAAUUCGUAGAUAUUCGGAAGAACACCAGUGGCGAAGGCGGCUCACUGGACCGGCAUUGACGCUGAGGUGCGAAAGCGUGGGGAGCAAACAGG